rnacentral:rRNA from 1 species
GACGAACGCGGCGGCGUGCCUAAUACAUGCAAGUAGAACGCUGAAGGAGGAGCUUGCUUCUCCGGAUGAGUUGCGAACGGGUGAGUAACGCGUAGGUAACCUGCCUGGUAGCGGGGGACAACUAUUGGAAACGAUAGCUAAUACCGCAUAAUAGUAGAUGUUGCAUGACAUUUGCUUAAAAGGUGCAAUUGCACCACUACCAGAUGGACCUGCGUUGUAUUAGCUAGUUGGUGGGGUAACGGCUCACCAAGGCGACGAUACAUAGCCGACCUGAGAGGGUGAUCGGCCACACUGGGACUGAGACACGGCCCAGACUCCUACGGGAGGCAGCAGUAGGGAAUCUUCGGCAAUGGACGGAAGUCUGACCGAGCAACGCCGCGUGAGUGAAGAAGGUUUUCGGAUCGUAAAGCUCUGUUGUAAGAGAAGAACGAGCGUGAGAGUGGAAAG